rnacentral:rRNA from 1 species
UACGGAGGGGGCUAGCGUUGUUCGGAAUUACUGGGCGUAAAGCGCACGUAGGCGGCUUUGCAAGUCAGAGGUGAAAGCCCCGGGCUCAACCCGGGAAGUGCACUCGAUACUGCCAAGCUAGAGUAUCGGAGAGGUUGGUGGAAUUCUCGGUGUAGAGGUGAAAUUCGUAGAUAUCGAGAGGAACACCGGUGGCGAAGGCGGCCAACUGGACGAAUACUGACGCUGAGACUCGAAAGCGUGGGGAGCAAACAGG